UACGUAGGGACCAAGCGUUGUUCGGAUUUACUGGGCGUAAAGGGCGCGUAGGCGGCAAUUCAAGUCAGUUGUGAAAUCUCCGAGCUUAACUCGGAACGGUCAACUGAUACUGUUUUGCUAGAGUACAGAAGGGGCAAUCGGAAUUCUUGGUGUAGCGGUGAAAUGCGUAGAUAUCAGGAGGAACACCGGUGGCGAAGGCGGGUCUCUGGGCCGGCAUUGACGCUGAUGAGCGAAAGCCAGGGAGCAAACGGG
rnacentral:rRNA from 1 species